rnacentral:misc_RNA from 1 species
CCAAGUGAUACCAAUUCACCAUCUACCUGCUGUCCAGUUGAGUCAGUGUGGGCAACACCACAUGCCUCCGUUUGUUGUUGACGGACACAUGCCCGCUGUGUAUGGGCUGGCACAUUGACCAACAAUGUACGGACAGCGCCCUGUGGGCACAUGAGUGUUGGGGUGUAACCGAUGUUGGUGGCCCUAUGGGUGAGCCGACGAUUGCUGCUGUCGUCGGGUCGCUGCACCAACGGAGGAAGCACGCCCACAGGGCACCCUAACGGCUGUGCUGGCGUCUGUGCGUCGUUGAGCGGUUGUUGCGCCUUGCGCGGAUAUGCUAACAUGGAGUGUAGGCUGCUAUUCCAUGUUGUACGUGCCGUACCCCGCGGCAUAUCUGCGCUUGUGUGCUACGUCCGUGGCCGUGAUGAGACGACGUGUUAGGACCCGUGCCUGGCAUUGGCACGUGGUUUAAGACUUGAUGAGUGCCCGCAGGCACCGCCAGCUUUUUCUCAUUUUUAUUUAUUUUUUUAUGCAAUUCGAUUGCUAAAAUAUUCUAGUCUUAUCGGUGGAUCACUCGGCUCGUGGAUCGAUGAAGAACGCAGCCAACUGCGAUAAUUAGUGUGAACUGCAGAAACCUUGAACACAGAACUUUCGAAUGCACAUUGCGCCAUUGGAGUGACAUCCAUUGGCACGCCUGGUUCAGGGUCGUAACCAAAAAAUGCACUGCGUAUGCGUGUUUUAUUUGCUAAGAUCACGCUUCGGUGUGUUCUUGCAUUACCAUUGAAUGCUACGCUGUGUAGCGUUGGACGUGCUGGCGCGAAAAUGUGUUGUCAUUCGCGCUUUACAGACCGUAAUUUAGGCACGCCCUUCGUUCACGUGCGAUAGCUGAAUGCCUCGCCAAUAGGCAUUUGCAAUUGA